rnacentral:rRNA from 1 species
UACGUAGGGUGCGAGCGUUGCCCGGAUUUAUUGGGCGUAAAGGGCGCGCAGGCGGCUCGGCACGUCCGUUGUGAAAUCGCCCGGCUCAACUGGGCGGGGUCAGCGGAUACGGUCGAGCUUGAGCAAGCUAGGGGGCAAUGGAAUUCCCGGUGUAGUGGUGGAAUGCGUAGAUAUCGAGAGGAACACCAGUGGCGAAGGCGGUUGCCUGGAGCUUUGCUGACGCUGAGGCGCGAAAGCGUGGGGAGCGAUCCGG